UGAUACUAAGCCAUGCGAGUCAUUGUAGCAAUACAAGGCAUACGGCUCAGUAACGCGUAGUCAACCUAACCUAUGGACGGGAAUAACCUCGGGAAACUGAGAAUAAUGCCCGAUAGAACAUUAUGCCUGGAAUGGUUUAUGUUCCAAAUGAUUUAUCGCCGUAGGAUGGGACUGCGGCCUAUCAGUUUGUUGGUGAGGUAAUGGCCCACCAAGACUAUUACAGGUACGGGCUCUGAGAGGAGUAGCCCGGAGAUGGGUACUGAGACACGGACCCAGGCCCUAUGGGGCGCAGCAGGCGAGAAAACUUUGCAAUGUGCGAAAGCACGACAAGGUUAAUCCGAGUGGUUUCUGCUAAAGGAACCUUUUGUCAGUCCUAGAAACACUGAUGAAUAAGGGGUGGGCAAGUUCUGGUGUCAGCCGCCGCGGUAAAACCAGCACCUCAAGUGGUCAGGACGAUUAUUGGGCCUAAAGCAUCCGUAGCCGGCUCUGUAAGUUUUCGGUUAAAUCUGUACGCUCAACGUACAGGCUGCCGGGAAUACUGCAAAGCUAGGGAGUGGGAGAGGUAGACGGUACUCGGUAGGAAGGGGUAAAAUCCUUUGAUCUAUUGAUGACCACCUGUGGCGAAGGCGGUCUACCAGAACACGUCCGACGGUGAGGGAUGAAAGCUGGGGGAGCAAACCGGAUUAGAUACCCGGGUAGUCCCAGCUGUAAACCAUGCAAACUCAGUGAUGCAUUGGCUUGUGGCCAAUGCAGUGCUGCAGGGAAGCCGUUAAGUUUGCCGCCUGGGAAGUACGUACGCAAGUAUGAAACUUAAAGGAAUUGGCGGGGGAGCACCACAAGGGGUGAAGCCUGCGGUUCAAUUGG
rnacentral:rRNA from 1 species